GCACAUGCCAGUAAAUUUCACGCGGGAAGAGGCCUAUCUGAGGCCUACUCGCUCGUUUAGUUAGCAUUGAGCUCAAAGACACAAAUUUAUAUUACAGUCGGAUGAAUAUUGAAAUAAAGAGACGAAAUGACCAAACAUGACGCUUCCUUCAGUUUCUCCGUGGAUGGAAAGACAGCGAAGUGAAGUAUACACAGCGUGGUUUCUGUGGAUGGUCCGCGUGUCUUCAGCAGCAGCAGCAGAAUCCUCUGAGGAAGUGGCCUGACUCAUCUGCGUCUGUGACAGGUAUGUAGACUGCUGUCUGAAGGCGACGUUUCGUCUGCCAUUUCACAGAGCCGUUUCUCCUUCUGACCUACAGCAGCCAUUUCCUACGCUGACUGCCUCCUGUAAUUGAAGGUACUUGUGGUGAUUUCACACAAUCAGAGUCUCACAUUCAAUGGGAUGAAAGUGAUUCAAAGAUGGGAGGCCCAUUUGAAAAGCUUCAUAGGAAAUCGUCAAUUAUCUAUACAAUAGGUUACUAAUACCUGCCCUCCUCCUCAUGCGCUGCCUAUUUCCACAUUAUAGAUUUAUGGCAUAUUUUCAAUCUAUAGGAGCUGUAUCUGCAAUGAUCCGACUGAAGCCCUCAUCUUUUAAAUCUUUUUAAUGAAACUAUAGAAAAUGACUUCUGAUGGGCUGAUUCUCAUCCUGGACUCUCAGUGCUCUGAUAGCGUGAAUGUUAGAUAACCUCUGCUGCUGUGAUAUCGAUAAUAGUCCACAAUCUACCCAGAAAGAAAUUUAGAGAUAGCUGGAGAGAAGAGAAAGUGGACAUUACCGCACAGAUAGAACUUUAAAGCCAUAGGAAAGUACAGUUUUAAAUUGAAAUUGUUUUAUUUUGUUCUUGUUAACAUAUAUUUAAUAUGGUUUAUGACUUUUGGUUGGCGCAUUGCAUUUAAACUCAAAGAUA